GGCUGGUCCAAGGGCAAUGGUGUUUACAACUAAUCGAUCACAACCAGUUACAGAUUUAUUUGUUUCUUCUCCACUCCCACUUUUCUCCUGACAAGCCUUUA
ensembl:misc_RNA Y_RNA Y RNA